rnacentral:rRNA from 1 species
UACGGAGGGUGCAAGCGUUAAUCGGAAUUACUGGGCGUAAAGGGUGCGUAGGUGGUUAGAUAAGUUAUCUGUGAAAGCCCUGGGCUCAACCUGGGAAGGCCAGAUAAGACUGUUUGACUAGAGUAAGGGAGAGGGUAGUGGAAUUUCCGGUGUAGCAGUGAAAUGCGUAGAGAUCGGAAGGAACACCAGUGGCGAAGGCAGCUUCCUGGCCCAAUACUGACGCUCAGGUGCGAAAGCGUGGGGAUCAAACAGG